CCUACGGGUGGCUGCAGUGGGGGAUAUUGCACAAUGGGGGAAACCCUGAUGCAGCGACGCCGCGUGAGUGAAGAAGUAUUUCGGUAUGUAAAGCUCUAUCAGCAGGGACGAAAAAAGACGGUACCUGACUAAGAAGCCCCGGCUAACUACGUGCCAGCAGCCGCGGUAAUACGUAGGGGGCAAGCGUUAUCCGGAUUUACUGUGUGUAAAGGGAGCGUAGACGGCAAUACAAGUCGGAAGUGAAAUACCCGGGCUCAACCUGGGAACUGCUUUGGAAACUGUAUGGCUAGAGUGCUGGAGAGGUAAGCGGAAGUCCGAGUGUAGCGGUGAAAUGCGUAGAUAUCAGGAGGAACACCGGCGGCGAAGGCGGCCUGCUGGACUGCGACUGACGUUGAGGCUCGAAAGCGUGGGGAGCGAACAGGAUUAGAUACCCCAGUAGUC
rnacentral:rRNA from 1 species